rnacentral:rRNA from 1 species
CCUACGGGAUGCAGCAGUAGGGAAUCUUCCGCAAUGGACGAAAGUCUGACGGAGCAACGCCGCGUGAGUGAUGAAGGCUUUCGGGCCGUAAAACUCUGUUGUUAGGGAAGAACAAGUGCUAGUUGAAUAAGCUGGCACCUUGUCGGUACCUAACCAGAAAGCCACGGCUAACUACGUGCCAGCAGCCGCGGUAAUACGUAGGUGGCAAGCGUUAUCCGGAGUUAUUGGGCGUAAAGCGCGCGCGGGUGGUUUCUUAAGUCUGAUGUGAAAGCCCACGGCUCAACCGUGGAGGGUCAUUGGAAACUGGGAGACUUGAGUGCAGAAGAGGAAAGUGGAAUUCCAUGUGUAGCGGUGGAAUGCGUAGAGAUAUGGAGGAACACCAGUGGCGAAGGCGACUUUCUGGUCUGUAACUGACACUGAGGCGCGAAAGCGUGGGGAGCAAACAGGAUUAGAUACCCGGGUAGUC